GAUGAACGCUAGCUACAGGCUUAACACAUGCAAGUCGAGGGGCAGCAUGAACUUAGCUUGCUAAGUUUGAUGGCGACCGGCGCACGGGUGAGUAACACGUAUCCAACCUGCCGAUGACUCGGGGAUAGCCUUUCGAAAGAAAGAUUAAUACCCGAUGGCAUAGUUCUUCCGCAUGGUAGAACUAUUAAAGAAUUUCGGUCAUCGAUGGGGAUGCGUUCCAUUAGGUUGUUGGCGGGGUAACGGCCCACCAAGCCUUCGAUGGAUAGGGGUUCUGAGAGGAAGGUCCCCCACAUUGGAACUGAGACACGGUCCAAACUGCUACGGGAGGCAGCAGUGAGGAAUAUUGGUCAAUGGACGAGAGUCUGAACCAGCCAAGUAGCGUGAAGGAUGACUGCCCUAUGGGUUGUAAACUUCUUUUAUACGGGAAUAAAGUGAGGCACGGGUGCCUUUUUGUAUGUACCGUAUGAAUAAGGAGCGGCUAACUCCGUG
rnacentral:rRNA from 1 species